rnacentral:lncRNA from 1 species
GUUGAAUUUAGUUCCCAUGCAAGACAUGCAAAGGUGGCCAUGCAAGGAGAAGUGGCAGCAAGCAGUCGAGCUAUGAAGUGCAGAAACUGGAGCUUGAAGUUGCCUAACUACUUGUUAUGUUUUGAUUGUAUUUUUAAUUAUUAUUUUGUAAUCUAGUUCAUGUUGAACUAAGUUGGUAAACCUUAUGAUGUUUUCGUUGAUUGAUUGACUGAAAAAUCAGCAAAGAAACUUAAGCAAGCUGAUUAACAAUUUCCAAUGUAAAUUUAGUGGUGUUAGGUAUGUCAUUAGGUAAAGACUUGUUCAUUUUGUUGUUGUUAUCUAUUAUAUGUAAUGGCAUUAUGCCUUCUUGAUCGGUUAAUGAAAAUAUCAGCUCUUUUCAUUCAAAAUACUCUCUCUCAAUUUCUUUUGUUUUCCAUUCGCAUGUGUUUCUGUUCUUGCUUCUGAGUUUGUUUCUUCAGCAAGGCUCGAGGCUUGCUAUACAAGCAAGAUUGAAAACAGUCUGCUGUUGUCUCUUUGCACCAACAG